rnacentral:misc_RNA from 1 species
GAUGAAGAACGUAGCGAAAUGCGAUAAGUAAUGUGAAUUGCAGAAUUCAGUGAAUCAUCGAAUCUUUGAACGCACCUUGCGCUCCUUGGCAUUCUGAGGAGCAUGCCUGUUUGAGUGUCAUUAAAUUCUCAAGACCUGUCUGCUUUUUUGAUAGGUAUUGGAUUUUGGGGGUUGCAGGCUGUUUCAAAUAAAUAGCCUUGCUCUCCUUGAAUGUAUUAGUGGAGAAAAGCCAUUGAACUCCAUUGGUGUGAUAAAACCUAUCAAUGCCAGGAGCAAUAUCACUACUUCUCUCUGCUGUCUAACUGUGACUGUCUGUAUUAAUUAGUAUGGAUGGGGACAACUUGACCAACUUGACCUCAAAUCAGGUAGGACUACCCGCUGAACUUAAGCAUAUCAUAAGCGGAGGA